rnacentral:ribozyme from 13 species
UUGUACAAGUUGUAUUAGAAGCGGGAAGAAUCUCCACUGAAAAGAUUAUUCAAAGAGUUUUAACUUUGUCUGGCCCUUCUCAUACUUCUCUUGAUUUAUCAAAACAACAAGAAG